rnacentral:rRNA from 1 species
GAUGAACGCUGGCGGCGUGCCUAAUACAUGCAAGUCGAGCGAACAGAUGAGGAGCUUGCUCCUCUGACGUUAGCGGCGGACGGGUGAGUAACACGUGGAUAACCUACCUAUAAGACUGGGAUAACUUCGGGAAACCGGAGCUAAUACCGGAUAAUAUUUUGAACCGCAUGGUUCAAUAGUGAAAGACGGUUUUGCUGUCACUUAUAGAUGGAUCCGCGCUGCAUUAGCUAGUUGGUAAGGUAACGGCUUACCAAGGCGACGAUGCAUAGCCGACCUGAGAGGGUGAUCGGCCACACUGGAACUGAGACACGGUCCAGACUCCUACGGGAGGCAGCAGUAGGGAAUCUUCCGCAAUGGGCGAAAGCCUGACGGAGCAACGCCGCGUGAGUGAUGAAGGUCUUCGGAUCGUAAAACUCUGUUAUUAGGGAAGAACAAAUGUGUAAGUAACUAUGCACGUCUUGACGGUACCUAAUCAGAAAGCCACGGCUAACUACGUG